CCAUUACUCCAUGCCCAGUCCAGUUCCCAUGACUCCUGCACUAGGUCUUCUGCGGGAGGCUGUUUGGGUGCAUGAAUGGAUCAUAUAUGCAUCCAGUGUGGAUUGCCAUAUGACACAUUUUGAGAUGGAUGAUGGAGCAGACACAGACCGUUAUCAAAGUGAAGCCAGGCGGCCAGUAUUGGUCCCAGAAAGGACGAGUGGGCAAUCAGUCACAGGGCCAUGGGUCCCAUGUGGUCUGAUCCAACAGAAGAGCCAAUGGAGCAAAGGUAAUUAUUACUAUUACUAAUGUGGUUUGGAUAGAAAUCUUUCAGAACACACAGUGGACCACAUUGUUGUACAUGGGCCCUGCAUGGUCCGCAGACCAGUAAGGGAUGCCCUCGCUAAUGACUAUAGCCUCUUAAGUUAAUUUAAAACGUCACAAGGAAAAAUGGUCCACAAAAAUAGUUAGGAGAAUAGUCAUAACUGUAGGCCUAAAGCCUAGUGGAUGAUUCUAGUAGUUUAUUUCCACUAGCAGGAGGUCAUUCAGGGUUGUUUUGGUUUGAUUAGAGGUCAUAAUCUGUCAAAUAUCAUCAGAGUCAGAUUGUCUAAAUAGGGAUCAGAGCAGCGGUGAUAAUAAGAUUUAAUUCAAUAUUUUCUGCAAAUAAUAUGCAACUAAAUUAGAUUACAAGAAAACACCUGUAUUCAUCAUAAUUAAUCCAAACAGCUGACUACUAAGAAAAAAAAAAAUAGAAUGAUGAUGAAAUACUUGGUGCAAAACGGAUGUGGGCUGGGAUGAAAUGGCAAUGUGUGGGUUUGAGAUACAGGUACUGUACAACUUGGCAAAGGGGCAAAUUGACCAGGAGGCCUUUCAAACUGGAGAGCUUGGUACAGCUCUGUCUCAUCUCCUGUUUUAUCCUUCUGCUGAAAAGCUUGGAAGAGUGAAACAAGUGAAGGCGUGUUUAACAAUAAGACAAAAUACUAUCACAAACACACCAUGAUGUGUUUCCAUGCUGUGUAUUUCUGGCUCAUGUAAUUACCCUGUUACAUUACUGACUGUGUCUCUCGAUGCAUAAUCACCCUGUAUGGCCCUGCAACCACCUUUGUUUGGACUUGUGUGCAGACAGGCAAAUGCGGCUACGGAUUUUCCUCUAAUCUGAUAAAAUGACUCUGGCCUUGCUAAAUCGAAGCCCACGCUGCUGAGUCUGAGCCGUCUCUCCAUGACUUCAGUUCAGGGACGUUUGAUUCAUUCUCAGCUGUAGACAUGAACACAUUUCAAUGGUGCUUUGUGCAGCCUUGAGACUGCUAUUGAAUGUUCAAUUUUUCAGCAUCCUGCUCAACAUGAAGCUCAAUAAAAAAACAAUGUGCAAUGUGUCUGCAUCUAUUAAAGUUCUCCACUUGCCUCCCUUCCAUCCCAUUUUAAUGAUUUAACAAUAAUUUGUGAACACAAUUUAAGACAUAUUUUCAUUUUUUUCUGCUUCUUCAAGAUAAUGCAGUGGAAAAAUAAGUUAAAUACACCUUAUAAAACAAACCGGAAUUGUAGUAUGGAAUGAUUUUGUGCUUAAAGUGCAAUGUCUAGAUCUGACCAGCGUGAACCAAAUACAGCACUGCUUUUUUCUGGUAUUGGAAUUAUAAAAUGUAUUAUUUACAGCUGCAGGAAUGUAGUACUAUUACUAAGAAACUGUACUUCUAAUGGCUGUUUGAUCUACUAACAUCUGAAGAAGACAUCUGAAGAAGACAUCCCUUCAUUCAAAAAUUCAAUUCACUUUCAUUAUAUAUUUCAAAUAUUUAUUAUGUGGGAAAUGGCUUUUAUUUGAAAAAUAAAUGUGUAGAAAGGGAGGAGUGCAUUUUAAAAUGUUCUCAAGUUAGAAAUACUUGUUAAUGCAGUUAUUUUUUAGGGUAAGAAGAAUAGUUAUCCAUUUCUCAUUUGGUAAAAAGUAGUGUGUUAAAGAUGCUUUAAAAAACUAUUCAAGAUCAACUUUUUUUCCCUCUUUGCAGUGUACCCUUGAAAGAAUAUCCUGUUUUCUCCCAUGUUUCUUGAGCACAGUAAUCCUCUUGGCUCAUCUGGCCCACAUUUGCAUCUGUAUCAUCUCAACUGUCUGCCAGCCAUGUCAAAAUUACCUCUGCAAGACCAGGAGCAGUAGCAGGUUGCAUAUCGAGGAUCACAGUCUGUCUCAGACCCAAUCCCCUCAUGGUUUGUUAGCAGGAAAAAGAGAAGCGGUAUGGAAAUAUCAACCCACAUGAAUGUGUAAGAGAGACUAUGUCCUCCUCUCUUCUUGAAACGAAUAGGCCAGCAGGUAGCAGUAGAUCGCUCAAGGAUUUCCUGCUUGUCUGCUCAUCGUUGCUCACAAAUUAGAUGUCUGCAUUCUAAUUUGUUUACUGCUUUAAACUGCAAUUUGCUCUGACUACAGUUGGUAGGGUCCAAGGACAAUUGCCUCGGUGAAAUAAUUUAGUACAAACAUAGUCGACUUUCCCGUCUUUUCUUGUUUAGUGCUUGAUGAAUCAGUCGUGCCUGAGGAGAACUGCCUUCCAACAGCUCCUCUAAAGUCUACCCCUCCUAAAAACAGAAGACACCAGACACCGAAACAUAUCAAGAUUUAUUUAAUGCAACAGUGACAAGAUAAAUAAUAAUAAUAAAUGUAUAAAUUAAUCAGUGGCACUUCACUCAAAACCUCUAUAAAUACGCCACAACGAGAACGAUCAGGGCACAGUUGGCAGCUGGCACUGUAUCUAUCAUUUUAAAGACUCAUGCUGGGAGAAAACUCUGGUCGUUUAAGCUAAACAUAUAAUUUAAAACCAUAUAGUGUAUAAUUGCAUUAUUUUAUGACGCAGUAUAGGCAGAAGCAACAGGAUCAAGCAGUGCUGGAGCAUUUCAUUCCCUUAUGACCUGAACAGCUUAUGCCGUGGUUGUAUAAAUUGCGCCUAUAAUGUGUGAUGGACAUAUUCAAGAAUAGACGCUGGGAUAAAUCUGCAGGUAGGUCUGUUUUGCUCUAAGGCCUUGUGCACACAUAGCCGGGUCUUUUUUUAAAACGAUCUCCCCCACCUCGUUUUUAAAAAUAUUGUACAUCAGGAAUCAUUUUCAGAAAGGUUUUCAUCCACACAAACCCGUCGUUUGAAAAACGCAUAGGGGGCAGGGGACCGGAAAGCUAAAGCCUAUGUCAGCCAGUCUGAAUCCUUCAGCACAAUGGUGACGUUGAACAGCAGUGUGCCUUUUUAUUGGGAGGGAGUUGGUGUAAAACAGCUGACCUCGAGGUGCUCUUUCUCCUUUUUACCUCAACAUAUUGGAGCAACUGGGCUUGCAAAGACAAACAAGGAAAAAUCCUCUCAAGCAACUAAAAUGUUUAUGACGUUCCAUAUAUGCUUUUACGUUGAAGUGUCGUUACCGAGGUGAAAACAGGAAAUGGUGCAGAUUAUCAGUGAACUUAUCUAGUUAAAUAUUGAUUAGACACAUAUUGUAAACAGUCAAACAAAACACCAACGUACCUCUCUGAUGGCUUUCAUUUUUUACUCGACUCUAUGGCCAAGCCUAUAACAAUGGUCGCACAUGUGAUGUCAGCACAGCAUUUUUUGUCGCAGACUGUGAUGCGCCGGACCCUGAUGAUGCGCCAGAAUGGUCUAAAAGGGUGUUUUGAUGUGGAUGAAAGGCCAAAAAGCAUACAAAUGUAUUUGUUAUCCUGGACAUCAGGUUACGUGUGGACUAGGCCUCAGACUGUCCUCACAGAUCGGUUAGAGCCUGUCGCCACAUGUUGUUUAUUUGAAUAAGUGCUGUCUGCUAUUUUUGCCUAAAGUCUCACAUAAGAGUAGUAUAUGAUGACAGACUAGCUGGGGAAUAAGAAAUGGUGAUGGAAAAGGGCCAGUGUACUUAGAUUUGAUGCUUUGUACAGUGACCAGCAUCAAGAUUUACCAGGGUUUUAAAAAGUCCAUUUUUUAAUGCUCUACCUUUCCUGGUGUACCGCAUUCUUUGGUUUAUUGUCCUUUAAAUGAGAAGCUGGAGGUGCCAGAAUUAGUAGAAUAUGGACAGUA